UUUUCUUUACCAAGUUACUUUAAAAAAAGAAUCAAUAUGUUAUUUCAGCAGAUAUUUAGAAGAUUCAACUCUUCAUGUGAUCUUUUGCUAAGUUAUGCCAACACCAAGACUGUUACAUAUGGAUUCUUGUUGCCUUAACUUGUUUUUAAUUAGGACCAGAGAAACAUUUGAUUAGUGACUGUAGCAGUAACUGAUAUAUCUUACUUGGACUGUUAUUAUUUCCAAGAAAACUAAUAGCCAAUCUGAUUUGCCAAUAGAGCAAUAUUAUAGGAUAAGUAAGUAAAAUUGGGAAUAUACGCAAUGAAAAAAUGUAUGCUUUCCACAUACAACCAACUUUAAAUUUGUUUGAGUUGUGUAAAUAAUUUGGCAUGUAGUCUAAGUUAAAUCAAUAAUAGUAGUCUCAAAUUAUCCUUGAUACUUUGUUUCUUUUAUUUUCUUUAUUAACUUGAGAAUCCGUAUUUGCAGGAGGAGCCUGGAAUAAAAGAUUGCUGAAAUUUUGCAAUAAAUAAAUCUUUUUAGAGGCACAUCUCUCUCCCGCCACCUUAUAAAAAAGAUGCCUUCUUUCCCCUUUGCCUUCUGCCAUGAUUGUAAAUUUCUUGAGGCCUUCCCAGCCAUGUGGGACUAUGAGUCAGUCAAACCUCUUUCCUUUAUAAAUUACCCAGUCUCGGUAUUUUCUUAGAGCAAUAUGAGAACAGACUAAUACAGCAAAUUGACACCAAGGGUGGGGUGCUGCUAUAAGAAUACCCCAAAAUGGCCAGGUGAGGUGGCUCACAACUGUAAUCCCAGCACUUUGGGAGGCCAAGGUGGACAGAUCAUAAGGUCCGGAGAUUGAGACCAUCCUGGCCAACAUAGUGAAACUCCAUCUCUGCUAAAAUACAAAAAAAUAGUCUGGCAUGGUGGCAUGUGCCUGUAGUCCCAGCUAUUCAGGAGGCUGAGGCAGGGGAAUCACUUGAACCUGGGAGGCGGAAGUUGCAGUGAGCUGAGAUCGUGCCGCUGCACUCCAGCCUGGUGACAGAGCAAGACUCCAUCUCAAAAAAAAAAAAAAGAAUACUCCAUAAUGUGAAAGUAGUGACUUUGGAACUGAGUAACAGGAAAAGGUUGGAACAGUUUAGAGGGCUCAGAAGAAGACAGGAAGACAUGGGAAAGUUUGGAACUUCCUAGAGACUUGUUGAAUGGCUUUGACCAAAAUGCUGUUCGUGAUAUGGACAACGAAGUCCAGGCUGAGGAUGUCUCAAAUGGAGAUGAGGAACUUUUUGGGAACUGGAAUAAAGGUGACUCUUGCUACGCUUUGCUUUAGUGAAGAGACUGGUGGCAUUUUGCCCUGCCCUAGAGAUCGGAGGAAAUUUGAACUUGAGAUAGAUGAUUUAGGAUAACUGGUGGAAGAAAUUUCUGAGAACCAAAUUGCUCAAGAGGUGACAGAACAUAAAAGUUUGGAAAAUUUGCAGCCUGAGGUUGUGGUAAAAAAGAAAAAUCCUUUUGUGGGGAGAAAUUCAAGCCAGCAGCAGAAGUUUGCAUAAGUAACAAGGAGCUGAAUGUUAAUCACCAAGACAAUGGGGAAAAUGUCUCCAGGACAUGUCAGAGACCUUCACAGCAGCACCCCCCAUCACAGGCCCAAAAGCCUAGGAGGGAAAAAUGGUUUCGUGGACCCGGCCCAGGCCCCCCCUGCUCUGUGCAGCCUCGAGACAUGGUACCCUGUGUCCCAUCUGCUUCAGCUCCAGCCAUGACUAAAAGGGCCAAGGUACAGCUUGGUUCAUUGCUUCAGAGGGUGCAAGCCCCAAGUCUUGCAGCUUCCAUGUGGUGUUGAGCCUGUGGGUGCACAGAAGACAAGAAUUGAGGUUUGAAAACCUCUGUCUGAAUUUCAGAGAAUGUAUGGAAAUGCCUGGAUGUCCAGGCAGAAGCUUUGGCUGCAGAAGCAGAGCUCUUAUGGAGAACCUCUGCUUGGGCAGUACGAAGGGAAAUGUGGAGUCAGAGCCCUCACACAAAGUCCCCACUGGGGCACUGCCUACUGGAGCUAUGAGAAGAAGGCCACCAUCCUUCAGACCCCAGAAUGGUAGACCCACUGACAGCUUGCACUGUGUGCCUGGAAAAGCUGCAGACACUCAAUGCCAGCCAGUGAAAGCAGCCAGGAGGGGGGCUGUACCCUGCAAAGCUACAGGGGUGGAGCUGCCCAAGGCCAUGGGAUCCCACAUGUUGCAUCAGCGUGACCUGAAUGUGAGACUGAGUCAAAGGAGAAUAUUUUGUAAUUUUAAGAUUUAAUGACUGCCCUAUUAGAUUUUGAACUCACAUGAGGCCUGUAACCUCUUUGUUUUGGCCAGUUUCUCUCAUUUGUGUAUAUUUACCCAAUGCCUGUAUCCCCAUUGUAUCUAGGAAGUAACUAACUGGCUUUUGAUUUUACAGGCUCAUAGGCAGAAGGGACUUGCCUUGUCUCAGAUGACACUUUGGACUUAGACUUUUGGGUUAAUGCUGGAAUGAGUUAAAACUUUGGUGGACUGUUGGAAAGGCAUGAUUGUGUCUUGAAAUGUGAGAAGGACAUGAAAUUUGGAAAGGACCAGGGGUGGAAUGAUAUGGUUUGGCUGUGUCCCCACCCAAAUCUCAUUUUGAAUUGUAGUUCCCAUAAUCCCCAUGUCUUGUGGGAGGGACUCGUGGGAAGUGAUUGGAUCAUGGGGGCAGUUUCCCCCAUGCUGUUCUUGUGAUAGAGAGUGAGUUCUCAUGAGAUCUCACAGUUUUUCAAGUGUCUGGCACUUGCUCUGCUGGUGCUUCUCCCUCCUGCUGCCUUGUGAAGAAGGUGCCUUGCUUCCCCUUCGCUUUCUGCCAUGACUGUAAGUUUCCUGAAGCCUUCCCAGCCAUGUGGAACUGUGAGUCAAUUAAACCCCUUUUGUUUAUGAAUUACCCAGUCUCGGGUAUUUCUUUAUAGCAAUUUGAGAAUGGACUAAUACAUGGAGAAAAGAUAAGAAUUUCAGGAAACAGGGAAUAUGAGUUAAUUUACAUUUCCUGAUUUUUGCCCUUUAUUUGAAGUAGAGAUAAAUCAUAUUUCCUUAUUUUUGUUGCAAUAAUUUCUUUAAAAUAAUAAACUUUUACCAAGACAAAAUUAGAUUAUUUUAGGCCUAAAGAAUUAAAGCUGGC
rnacentral:lncRNA from 10 species